rnacentral:rRNA from 1 species
UACGGGGGGGGCAAGCGUUGUUCGGAAUUACUGGGCGUAAAGGGCGCGUAGGCGGCCAGACCAAGUCGAGUGUGAAAUUGCAGGGCUUAACUUUGCAGGGUCGCUCGAUACUGGUCGGCUAGAGUGUGGAAGAGGGUACUGGAAUUCCCGGUGUAGCGGUGAAAUGCGCAGAUAUCGGGAGGAACACCAAUGGCGAAGGCAGCUCGCUGGGACGUUACUGACGCUGAGACGCGAAAGCGUGGGGAGCAAACAGG